UGGGGAAUAUUGCACAAUGGGCGCAAGCCUGAUGCAGCCAUGCCGCGUGUAUGAAGAAGGCCUUCGGGUUGUAAAGUACUUUCAGCGGGGAGGAAGGGAGUCAAGUUAAUACCUUUGCUCAUUGACGUUACCCGCAGAAGAAGCACCGGCUAACUCCGUGCCAGCAGCCGCGGUAAUACGGAGGGUGCAAGCGUUAAUCGGAAUUACUGGGCGUAAAGCGCACGCAGGCGGUUUGUUAAGUCAGAUGUGAAAUCCCCGGGCUCAACCUGGGAACUGCAUCUGAUACUGGCAAGCUUGAGUCUCGUAGAGGGGGGUAGAAUUCCAGGUGUAGCGGUGAAAUGCGUAGAGAUCUGGAGGAAUACCGGUGGCGAAGGCGGCCCCCUGGACGAAGACUGACGCUCAGGUGCGAAAGCGUGGGGAGCAAACAGG
rnacentral:rRNA from 1 species